rnacentral:lncRNA from 1 species
AUGAUACAAAUAUUACAAGUAAAAAAACAAAAAAACGACAGCUUUAUCAAUAACAGUUACAGUAGCAACAAUAGCUACAGUAGCAAUAAUAAUUACACUAGCAAUAAUAAGUGCAGUAACAACAAUAGCUACAGUAUUUUUUUAUUUUAUUUUUUAACUCCUUUAUAAUGUUUUUUGUAUACAUAUGUAUUUAUACAUAUAUUUUUUAAUUAUUUAAAGGAAAACAAUGAAAUUAUAUUAUGUGUGGGUAAUAGUCUUAACUGCUGUAAUUUUAAAAUUUUUAAAAUGUGUGACUAUUCUGUGUCAGUGUUGUUACCACUUACUAAUAUAUGUAAAGAUUGCUAUGGUAAAAAAGAAAAAACAAAUCCAUUUGAAGAUAAUACUACCAAUAAAAAUAUGUUAAUUACAUAUUCUUCGACCGUUAAUAGCUUACCAUGUAAAUUGACAAUUGAAAAAAGUUCUAUAGAUUUAUCACAGAACAUACUAGAGCUAGUCUAUAAAUUAUUAAAAGGGUCAAGGAUAUAUAAAAAAAACAUAUCCUUAGCAUUGUUUUAUUUUCACUUUUUUUAUUCCUAUCUUUCUUUUUUUUUAUUUAUUAUUGCCAUUUGUUUCUUGCCACCUAUUAUAGCGGUUGUUGAUUAUUUAUUGUUUAUUUUUAUAAUAAUACCAGUACUUUCGGUGAUCCUCUUAAACAAUAACAACAAUUCUACAAUAAUGAACGACAUUCCAGAUAAAAAUAUAAAAAAAGAUGCAGUUAUUAAGUCUUUGGUAAAAAAUAAAAAAAUAAAAAAAAUUAAAAAAAUAAAUGAACGAACAAACGAACACAAACAUGAGCUUAAAGAGCUGAUAAUACUGUGUUUUUAUAUUACCUACGUGCUUGUACAAAUUUUUUAAUAAAUAUAGAAUGUGUGUGUUUAUAUCUUCCAUACAUAUACAUGUUUGCUUCUAUUUUUUCAUUCACGAGUUCGUUUAUUUAUUUUAUUUUAUUUUAUUUAUUCUUUAUUAUUUAUUCUUUAUUAUUUAUUAUUUAUUAUUUAUU